AACUCUGCAGUCCCUGGGUUCCAUCCCCAGGACUGCAAACUGGUACAACAAAACUGAAACAAGUAGCACCCUUGCAGCUGGUCCUCCCCUGCUGGUGAGGACUCCAUCUGCACUGCUGUGAGUGAAAGGGAAGUUCGGAGUGCGCGGGCAUCUGUGCGUGGGGAGCCUUACAUUUCCAGAGUGAGCAGUGCCUUGCAAUAGGAGCCCCCAGAAGGACACUGUGGAGGGCGCUCUUCCUCCUGGGCUGGCCUCCCUGAGACCCUCCUCUCUGUCACACCUGCACCCCAAAGGUGAAAUACCGGGUGCUGCCUGGAGCAGGGGCAACAAGGUGAGUGUGAUUUAUUUAUUUUUUUGUUUCUUCAGGCAGGGUCUUACUGUGCAGCUCAGGCUGACCUUGUGCUCACUGUGUAGCCCAGGCUGGCCUCGAACUCGCAACGAUCCUCCCGCCUCAGCUUCCUGUGGUGUGCCACCACACCCGGCUCUCAAGCUGUUCCUUAAGAUUCAGAUGCUGCCCCUUUAUCAAGUGAGCUACUUUAUGGAUGUGAGCAUCUUCAAGGAGCUUUGGGUGGGGUGGACCAGAAGAAAUGGAGCAGAAGCAUGCCCAGGAACACAGCGUUCCCGUGUUGAGACCUGGCCCCCAAGUGAGGGCAUGAGGAAGCCUCUCAGGGAGCGAUUAGGCCGUAGGGCAGAACCCUCAGGAGCGGGAACUGGGACAUCAUCCGACUCCGGAUCUGCUGCCCGGACCGUGGGACAUCUCUGUUCCUGUGUAUCAGCCCCGUCGUCCUGGUCUUCUGUACCAGGGUCAAGACGAGUCGAUGCUAGCCGUUCCCUUCCUUUUUGUGCUAUGUUCAUCUAUUCUGAAUAUGAGGCUGUAUUUUUCUGCCUGUUGCAAGAGGAGCAGUUCUGAUCCCACGGAACCCAUGGUCUUGGGUGGAG
rnacentral:lncRNA from 1 species